GAUGAACGCUGGCGGCGUGCAUAACACAUUCAAGUCGAACGGAGUUGUUGUUUUAGAUCCCUUCGGGGUGACGAGGCAUCAACUUAGUGGCGGACGGGUGAGUAACGCGUGAGCAACCUGCCCUUGCGUGGGGGAUAACGUUUGGAAACGAACGCUAAUACCGCAUAACGUAUUCUUAUUGCAUGGUUUGAAUACCAAAGAUUUAUUGCGCAAGGAUGGGCUCGCGUCUGAUUAGGUAGUUGGUGGGGUAACGGCCCACCAAGCCGACGAUCAGUAGCCGGACUGAGAGGUUGAACGGCCACAUUGGAACUGAGAUACGGUCCAGACUCCUACGGGAGGCAGCAGUGGGGAAUAUUGGGCAAUGGGCGAAAGCCUGACCCAGCGACGCCGCGUGAGGGAAGACGGUCUUCGGAUUGUAAACCUUUGUUGACAGGGACGAAACAAAUGACGGUACCUGUCGAGGAAGCCACGGCUAACUACGUG
rnacentral:rRNA from 1 species